rnacentral:lncRNA from 1 species
UUAUUCGCAUAUGUAAAUUAUCUCUUAUGGGUAAACUGGAGAAUGGUUAUGAAGUAUGCUUUGGCGUAUGAAUAUGAGUGUAUGUUUGAGAAUGGAAGUGAACUGGAGGCAAACCUUUAUGAGAAUUCUGUAUGAUGUGAAUCUGCAGGGGAAAAAAAAUGUAUUGUAAUCAAGAGCUUUUAUUGAUAACAAGAGGUAAGAUUAUAAAAUCUUGAUAUAAGUGAAAGGUUGGACCUUUAAAGAGGAUUACAACUCUCUUUGCUAUUUUGCAGGAGGUAGCAGAUUUGAGCUGUGAUGAAUUGGUUCGAUAUUUUGCAGAUAUGAGUUGUGUGUUGGGUGAAGAGUUAAGCUGCUUUGUGCGUGAUCGAAUGGGCGAGAAUGGCUGAAAUUUAUAGAGGAAAUUGGCAGGAAGAAGAAGACGUGGAAGACCCAUUUCCAUUGAAUUAAUAGAAGAAGAUAUGUAUCAAUUUCC